rnacentral:rRNA from 1 species
CACGCAGGCGGCUAGGCAAGUCUGACGUGAAAGCUCCCGGCUAAACUGGGAGAGGUCGUUGGAAACUGCUUAGCUUGAGGUAAUGAGAGGGGUGCGGAAUUCCCGGUGUAGUGGUGGAAUGCGUAGAUAUCGGGAGGAACACCAGUGGCGAAAGCGGCACCCUAGCAUUGACCUGACGCUCAUGUGCGAAAGCGUGGGGAGCGAACG